GAUGAACGCUGGCGGCGUGCCUAAUACAUGCAAGUCGAGCGAACAGACGAGGAGCUUGCUCCUCUGACGUUAGCGGCGGACGGGUGAGUAACACGUGGAUAACCUACCUAUAAGACUGGGAUAACUUCGGGAAACCGGAGCUAAUACCGGAUAAUAUAUUGAACCGCAUGGUUCAAUAGUGAAAGACGGUUUUGCUGUCACUUAUAGGUGGAUCCGCGCCGCAUUAGCUAGUUGGUAAGGUAACGGCUUACCAAGGCGACGAUGCGUAGCCGACCUGAGAGGGUGAUCGGCCACACUGGAACUGAGACACGGUCCAGACUCCUACGGGAGGCAGCAGUAGGGAAUCUUCCGCAACGGGCGAAAGCCUGACGGAGCAACGCCGCGUGAGUGAUGAAGGUCUUCGGAUCGUAAAACUCUGUUAUUAGGGAAGAACAAAUGUGUAAGUAACUAUGCACGUCUUGACGGUACCUAAUCAGAAAGCCACGGCUAACUACGUG
rnacentral:rRNA from 1 species